AUGCCUUUGUUGUCCACGAAUGUAUAAAUCAAAGACAAAGGAUCUUCCUUUUUGCAAGUUGAUUACAUUCAGACAUUUGACCAUGGACCCUGAGUACAGUCUCCAGGAUGUGGUCCGGUGUCAUCUCUGUGAGACCCCAGUCCCCCCUUUACACUGUGUCAUUUGUAAAUUACAUCUGUGUAAAGCCUGUGUGGGGGAACAUAUAACAGAUCUGUCUAAAGAACACAUAAUGGUCGCAUUUGGAAAGCGGAGAUCUACCAGUACUCCUAUUUACACAAAGUGUCCUAAACAUUCCACAAAGCAAUGUGAACUGUUCUGUGAACAAUGUGACAUUCCUAUUUGUGUACAUUGUACCUCUUCUAAUGAACAUCUUGAGCAUAAAACUGUUGAUAUCUUAAAAAGUUUUGAAGCAAAGAGGGAAGUCAUUCAAAGAGACUUAACUGAUUUUGAGGAAUUAAUAUAUCCCAAAUAUCAAGAUAUUGCUUCUAGCAUCCCAGUUCAAAAAGCUGAUUGGAAUAAAAACUCCCAGAAAUUAAGAUCAUCUAUAGACAAACAGGAACAAUACUUGCACAAAGAAAUAGAAAACAUAAGUCAGAAAAAAAAAUCUGAGCUUGAUGAUAUGGACUCCAAACUCCUAAAUGUUUUAAAUAAACAGGAAGAUAAAAUUUCACACACCAUUUCUGAAAUUACACAGAGCAUUGCUGAUGCAAAAAAAUUACUGAACUCAAAUGAUGUCAGCCGUGUCUCUUCCUACAAAUCCAGGAAUGCUGAAUUCAGAAGACUGCCUCCUAAACUUGUAGCUUCCUUACCAAAUUUAACCCCUAAAAAGAUGAACAACGAACAUCUUCACCAACACUUUGGUUCUUUAUCAGCAUUAUCUAUCAAAAUAGAAGAACGAGGCUUCAUAAUAGACUCUCCAAGUGCUAAGUCCUCCCUCAUGAACACACCACUCUUUAAUGAACCACGGAUCAUUACAGUUAUAAAGACUCAGUAUGGAACCAGUAAUAGACUUCGCAGUUUGUCCUGUCUGAGCGAUGAUGUUAUUUGGAUGACUGGUGAAGAAACUUCAUGAGACUCUACAACCUAAUGGGGAAACAAGUGAAGUCAGUCCAAACCAAGUCAGGGAAUAAACCCAGGGACAUUGCAGUGACAAGUGGUGGGGAUCUUAUUUAUUCUGAUUAUGAUGAUAGAACUGUGAACAUAGCAAAGAAAAUACAUCUGCAGAACACACAGAUACAGACAGUGAUUAAACUACAGGGGUGGAGACCUCACUGUGUCUGUAGUACUGCAUCUGGUGACCUCCUGGUUGUCAUGGACAGUGAUAAUUUUAAACAAACAAAAGUUGCGCUUUACUCUGGAUCCAUAGAGAAACAAAGUAUUCAGUACGACGACUAUAGACAAUUUCUCUAUUCAUAUGGCAGUAACUCUAAAUGCAUCACUGAGAACAGGAACCUAGAUAUCUGUGUUUCAGACUAUACAGCUGGUGCAGUAGUGGUGGUCAAUCAGGCCGGGAAACUCCAGUUUACCUACACUGGUCCUCACUUUACUUCAUUCUUUAUCUUCUCUGCCUAUCAUUCAAUAUUUGGUCCAACUGACAUCACAACAGACAGCCAGGGUCGGAUCCUAAUAGCAGACUAUAACAACGACCUUAUCCACAUCCUGGAUCAGGAUGGGAAGUUUCUCCGCUUCAUUGACAACAGUCAUUUAUGGAAUCCAUGUGGUUUAUGUGUGAAUACCAGAGACAACCUCUUUGUGGCCGAGUGGGACACGGGUAACGUGAAGAAAAUACAAUACAGUGGACCCUGCUUAAUAUGAUAGUUAUUUUGUCAGGAGAAUUAUUACAUUAACUGGACUAAUAUAAUAACCAAACCCAGCUAAAUUCAACGUGAACAAGUAUGAAAUGUGCACGUCUAGUACAUCUCUUGAUUUAGCAAUAUAGCUUGAAUAUGCUAUAUAGCUUAAUUGAGCUAUUCAGAGUAGCUUGAUUUAGCUAUUUUGUCAUACAUUUUUCUUAAAUUUAUGAAUUGAGACAAUUGCCUCCAAAGCUCAAAGUAUAUUCAGUAUGCUAGUGUUUGCCAUAUAUAGUUGCCCUCUAUGCAUGCACUUCAUUUCAAUACAGUCAGUAAGAAGUUUUAUUUUAUGCCAUUAAUUCCCAGCUCUCUGAUCGGCUCAUAUCCAUGAACUAUCUAGAAACAAUAUAACAUUAUAUUCACCUGCACUCGAUUUUGGAGGUCAACAUAACAUUUGAUUAUCUCUACAUUGGACUAAAAAUAGAUUGUCCAAUGAAACAUCAGAUUUCUUAAUUUGUUUGGCUAUGGCUUCAAACUAAAACAAUAAAACUUGAUUU
rnacentral:sRNA from 1 species